CCUGGUGAUAAUGGCGGAGGUGCCAUACCCGUUCCCAUUCCGAACACGGAAGUCAAGCCCUCCCGCGCCGAUGAUACUGCCCCGUAAAGGGCGGGAAAGUAGGUCGUCGCCAGGC
rnacentral:rRNA from 1 species